ensembl:lncRNA
CCACUGCAGUAUCUUUGUCAAGAAAACCCCCAAACGGAGUCCCAAAGAAUCAGAGACAAUUGAAAUGACUGAACAACAACACUGGAGUUCCUCACUUAGACUAACACAUGCCUUGUCCCCAACACAAAUAGAAUUCCCUUAGUUUGCCCUACCCCCACUCUUACAAACCAGGGAAGUCUCAUUUUGCCUGCAGGACACUCUCCCAUUUAUGUCCAAGAUGAGAACAUCUCCCCAUCCCACACAUCAGCCCCCCAUUUGUUUCCUCCUGGGACAAAACAGGCCAGACAAAUGGCUCCUGGCAAUUUGACUGGAUAGCCUACAAUUAUUUCUUUCACUAGCUGGGAGAGAGACAUCCUUCUCUCCCAAAUGACUUCUCUCCCAAAUUACUGUCAUUUUUUUAUUAUGGUAAAUAGCAAAAAGACUCACCACAGGGCAUGCAUUGCUCUACCCACUGUAAACCUCAAAUUUCCUUAGACUUAUAAUUGUUGAAAAUUUCACCAUUGGGAUAUUUCAUACUUGGAAAAUUUCUUACUGAUAGUCUAUUGGAAUGGGAACCCCAUUGGCAUGGGAGGUUCCUUCUCUUCCCUUCUUAAGAUUACUUUAGGACAGAAACCCUUUGCUGAACAAUGGAAAGGACUUUGACCUAUGCUUAAGCAUAGAACAGGAAUUUCUUUGAGUCUUGAUUGAUUUUAAAAUUGAUACAAUGGAGAUACUUGGAAUAAAUCUCCACCCUAUUCAGUCCUAAUAGGAUUGAGUAAGGGCUGCAGCCUAGAUCAAAAUUUAAUUAUUCCAAUCUCUACCAUACUCAAGUUAACAGGAUUUAGAAAGGGCUGUAACAAAGGAGUAUAGAUUUAAUCAUUGGAAAAUAUGACCUUCAACAGACAUGUGCAAAAAGCCAGAAACCUCUGGGCGGUCCUGGGUUAAGCGAGAGCCUCCAUUGACAGGGAAAUUGAUGAAGAGUGAUUGGUAGAUGUGAGGACUGAGGGGAGGCAACUUGGAUGGUUUCCUUAAAGAUAGGAGGGUCUGGAGACUCGAGGGGGGUGGUUGUUGAGUUUUUGGAGCGGUGUGGUUCCUGGGCUCGGUGGAAGCUUGCUCUGAAGGAAGCUGAAGGUGGGGGCCUCUGAGACUGUUUCUCCAUUUUGGACACGUGAGUAAUAGGGACUGAUCUCCUUUCUUUGCCCCAGCUAUCUAAGGGCUUGGGCCUUUUGGCCCAGCCUAAACAGAAGGGGUAUUUAAGCCCUAUUCCCUUCUCUCCCCUUUCUCUCUCUAUAUAUAUAUCUCUAAUUCCUUUCUUGCUCCUAUUGUAAUUAAACUCCAAAAAAGGCUGACGGCUGACUUGAGUUUUUCAUUUAGGAAUUACAUAGCUGAUUCCUUGGCGACCUUAAAUUAAUAUAUAUCAGUCUUUUAAAGUGAUUCCCUUGUAACACCACCCCCGGUGUCUGCAGGCAGCACCCACAACCCUCUCUCCCCAAGAAAAACAAAUGAGCAAAUUUAUCUUCUCCCAGGCCAGAAAGAAGGGUCUCAUUAAAGAGAAGACCGACCCUAAAUGUACAUUUCAUGCAUAUUAAAAUCCAGAGGAAAAA